AUGCGUAUGUUGAGAUGGAUGUGUGGCCACACGAGGAAGGAUCGAGUCUGGAAUGAUGAUAUACGAGAUAGAGUUGGGGUAGCACCAAUUGAGGAGAAGCUUGUCCAACAUCGUCUGAGAUGGUUUGGGCAUAUUCAGCGCAGGCCUCCAGAAGCUCCAGUGCAUAGCGGACGGCUAAAGCGUGCGGAUAAUGUCAAGAGAGGGCGGGAUAGACCGAAUUUGAUAUGGGAGGAGUCCGUUAAGAGAGACCUGAAGGAUUGGAGUAUCACCAAAGAGCUAGCUAUGGACAGGGGUGCGUGGAAGCUUGCUAUCCAUGUGCCAGAGCCAUGA
rnacentral:rRNA from 1 species